AUUGAACGCUGGCGGCAUGCUUUACACAUGCAAGUCGAACGGUAACAGGUUAAGCUGACGAGUGGCGAACGGGUGAGUAAUGCAUCGGAACGUGCCCGGUCGUGGGGGAUAACGCAGCGAAAGCUGCGCUAAUACCGCAUACGAUCUGAGGAUGAAAGCGGGGGACCGUAAGGCCUCGCGCGAUCGGAGCGGCCGAUGUCAGAUUAGGUAGUUGGUGGGGUAAAGGCCUACCAAGCCGACGAUCUGGAGCUGGUAUGAGAGGACGACCAGCCACACUGGGACUGAGACACGGCCCAGACUCCUACGGGAGGCAGCAGUGGGGAAUUUUGGACAAUGGGCGCAAGCCUGAUCCAGCAAUGCCGCGUGCAGGAAGAAGGCCUUCGGGUUGUAAACUGCUUUUGUACGGAGCGAAAAGGCUCUCUCUAAUACAGGGGGCUCAUGACGGUACCGUAAGAAUAAGCACCGGCUAACUACGUGCCAGCAGCCGCGGUAACAC
rnacentral:rRNA from 1 species